rnacentral:rRNA from 1 species
UACGUAGGGUGCUAGCGUUGUUCGGAAUCAUUGGGCGUAAAGCGCGUGUAGGCGGUCAAUUAAGUCGGGUGUGAAAUCCCUCGGCUCAACCCGGGAAGUGCAUUCGAAACUAAUUGGCUGGAGAGUGGUAGAGGAAGGUGGAAUUCCAAGUGUAGAGGUGAAAUUCGUAGAUAUUUGGAGGAAUACCGGUGGCGAAGGCGGCCUUCUGGACCAUUUCUGACGCUGAGACGCGAAAGCGUGGGGAGCAAACAGG